rnacentral:snRNA from 8 species
AUACUUACCUGGCAAGGGAGAUACCGUGAUCAAGAAGGCGGUUCACCCAGGGCGAGGCUCAAGCCAUUGCACUCCGGGCUGUGCUGACCCCCUGCGAAUUUCCCAAAUGUGGAAAUCUCGAUUGCAUAAUUUAUGGUAGUGGGGGACUGCGUUCGCGCUCUCCCCUG